rnacentral:rRNA from 1 species
UCAAGCUAAAAAGGGCGCAAGGGGGAUGCCUUGGCAUUGGUAGCCGAUGAAGGACGUAGCGAUCUACGAUAAGCCACGGGAAGUCGAAAGCAGGCAAUGAUCCGUGGAUUUCCGAAUGGGGAAACCCGGCAGAGCAAUACUCUGUCAACUCCUUGUGAAUAAAAUAGCAUUGAGUAGGGAACCUCCUGAACUGAAACAUCUAAGUAGGGAGAGGAAAAGAAAUCAACCGAGAUUCCGCUAGUAGUGGCGAGCGAACGCGGAAGAGGCCAAACCAAGAGUAGUAAUACUUUUGGGGUUCGGACUGAGGACGGUAUUGACAAGAGUUAGUAGAAUGAAAUGGGAAGUUCAACCAUAGAGUGUGAGAGUCACGUAUACGAAAACUUAAGUCAGCCAUCAGUAUCCAGAGUACCGCCGGACACGUGAAACCCGGUGGGAAUACGGGGGGACCACCCUCCAAGCCUAAAUACUCACCAAUGACCGAUAGUGUAUAGUACUGUGAAGGAAAGGUGAAAAGAACCCCUGGCGGGGAGUGAAAAAGAACCUGAAACCUUGUGCCUACAAGCACAUAGAGCACGUCAACGUGUGAUAUGGUACCUUUUGUAGAAUGGUCCGGCGAGUGAAUGUCACUAGCGAGGUUAAGAACUUAAGGUUUGCAGCCGAAGCGAAAGCGAGUCUUAAUAGGGCGAGUUUAGUUAGUGGUAUUCGACCCGAAACCGAGUGACCUAGCCAUGAGCAGGCUGAAGUGGAGGUAAAACUCCAUGGAGGGCCGAACCCACUCCCGUUGAAAUGGUAGGGGAUGACUUGUGGCUAGCGGAGAAAUUCCAAUCGAACUCGGAGAUAGCUGGUUCUCUCCGAAAUAGCUUUAGGGCUAGCCUCAAUUAACAUUACCGCAGGUAAAGCACUGAAUGGGCUAGGGGGCGAAAGCUUACUGAACCCUAUCAAACUCAGAAUGGCGGAUAAUGAAUAAUUGGGAGUCACACUACGUGAGAUAAGUUUCGUGGUGGAAAGGGAAACAGCCCAGACCCACAGCUAAGGUCCCAAAGUACAGUUAAGUGGAAAAGGAUGUGAAGUUGCGCAGACAACCAGGAUGUUGGCUCAGAAGCAGCCACUCAUUUAAAGAGUGCGUAAUAGCUCACUGGUCGAGUGAUUUUGCGCCGAAAAUUUAACGGGGCUAAACUGUACACCGAAGCUUGGGAAUAUACCAUAUGGUAUGUUGGUAGGAGAGCGUCGUAUGCGGGGUGAAGUCGUAGCGAAAGCGGCGGUGGACUGCAUAGGAGUGAGAAUGCCGGAAUGAGUAGCGAGAAUUAUGUGAGAAUCAUAAUGGCCGAAAGUCUAAGGUUUCCUGAGGAAGGUUCGUCCUCUCAGGGUUAGCCGGGAGCUAAGGUGAGGCGGAAACGCGUAGCCGAUGCACAUACGGUAGAAAUUCCGUAGCCUCCGAAGAUUUAAGCACAGGGACACUUUUGAAGGACUGAGCCGGGCGUUGGUUGCCCCGGUCGAAAGGGACACGAGUGAGUGGAAGUCAGUUUGGAAAGAGGCGAGAAAAGCUGUGUGUAUAUGGAAGGAGCCCGUACCGCAAACCGACACAGGUAGACAGGAAGAAGAUUCUAAGGCCAACGGGAGAAGGGUUGUUAAGGAACUCGGCAAGUUGACCCCGUAACUUCGGAAUAAGGGGAGCCUCGAAAGAGGCCGCAGAGAAUAGGCCCAAGCAACUGUUUACCAAAAACACAGGUCUAUGCUAAAUCGAAAGAUGACGUAUAUGGGCUGACGCCUGCCCGGUGCCGGAAGGUUAAGAGGAGAUGUCAGGCCGCAAGGCCGAAGCAUUGAAUUGAAGCCCCGGUAAACGGCGGCCGUAACUAUAACGGUCCUAAGGUAGCGAAAUUCCUUGUCAGGUAAGUUCUGACCCGCACGAAAGGCGUAACGAUUUGGGCGCUGUCUCAGCUGUAGACUCGGUGAAGUCUUAGUACCUGUGAAGAUGCAGGUUACCCGCGACUAGACGGAAAGACCCCAUGGAGCUUCACUGCAGGUUGAUAUUGGGAUUUGAUGCAGCAUGUACAGGAUAGGUAGGAGGCAAAGAGAUGGAUACGCCAGUAUUCAAGGAGCCGCUGUUGGGAUACUACCCCUGUUGUAUUGGAUUUCUAACCGGACGACGUAGAGCCGUUGACGGGACAGUGUCAGUCGGGCAGUUUGACUGGGGCGGUCGCCUCCCAAAGAGUAACGGAGGCGCCCAAAGAUACCCUCAGCUUGGAUGGAAACCAAGCGCAGAGUGCAAAGGCAAAAGGGUGUUUGACUGCGAGACCUACAAGUCGAGCAGGGACGAAAGUCGGGCUUAGUGAUCCGGCGGUGCUGAAUGGAAAGGCCGUCGCUCAACGGAUAAAAGCUACCCUGGGGAUAACAGGCUGAUCUCCCCCAAGAGUCCACAUCGACGGGGAGGUU